CCUACGGGCGGCAGCAGUGGGGAAUAUUGCACAAUGGGGGAAACGCUGAUGCAGCGACGCCGCGUGAGUGAAGAAGUAUUUCGGUACGUAAAGCUCUAUCAGCAGGGAAGAAAAUGACGGUACCUGACCAAGAAGCCCCGACUAACUACGUGCCAGCAGCCGCGUUAAGACGUAGGGGGCGAGCGUUAACCGGAUUUACUGGGGGUAAAGGGAGGGUAGACGGCAGCGCAAGUCUGGAGGGAAAUCCCAUGGCUUAACCAUGGAACUGCUUUUGAAACGGGCGAGCUAGAGUGCAGGAGAGGUAGGCGGAAUUCGUAGUGUAGCGGUGAAAUGCGUAGAUAUCAGGAAGAACACCAGUGGCGAAGGCAGCUUACUGGACUGUAACUGACGUUGAGGCUCGAAAGCGUGGGGAGCAAACAGGAUUAGAUACCCCGGUAGUG
rnacentral:rRNA from 1 species